rnacentral:lncRNA from 1 species
GACUGGAUUCGAGAGGCUACAGGACGGUAGCUGGUGGAGGAAUCCUGAGAGUGCUACGCGGCGAUAGGAUUGUGCUGGAGGGGAAGAAGGGGAGCAGAGGAUAUUAUUACCUGGCAGGGAGCCCAAUGCGAGGUGGAGCUUUGGGAGUCAGGUGGAGCCCAGAGCGAGGUGGAGCUCCAGGAGGUGGAUCGGGUACGAGACAGAAGACUCGGGAGGACGAGAGGCGACGCGCAAUGUGAGAUUCCUAUUGCCGCAGGACGAUGCCCC